GAGACACAGACAGAAUCCGAAAUUGGCGCGAAAGUGACCGACAAGUGUAGGAGGUAAAACAAAACCCAAUAUAAGUGAACCGGUAGAUUUAAAAAUUGCGCCAACGAUCGAACUCAACCACUGAAUGGAUGACGUGCGACUAUGUUCAACACAUUAUAACUCACGAUUGAACGGAGUGAUUAUCUAUCCUUCGAAAAAGGCUCAAUACAUGUAGCCGAAACGUCAGGUGUAGAGCAUAAAUCCGUUUAUGAUUACGCGAAGACUGAAAGCCGAAAAUACCCGUAA